rnacentral:rRNA from 1 species
AUUGAACGCUGGCGGCAUGCCUUACACAUGCAAGUCGAACGGCAGCACGGGUGCUUGCACCUGGUGGCGAGUGGCGAACGGGUGAGUAAUACAUCGGAACAUGUCCUGUAGUGGGGGAUAGCCCGGCGAAAGCCGGAUUAAUACCGCAUACGAUCUACGGAUGAAAGCGGGGGACGUUCGGGCCUCGCGCUAUAGGGUUGGCCGAUGGCUGAUUAGCUAGUUGGUGGGGUAAAGGCCUACCAAGGCGACGCUCAGUAGCUGGUCUGAGAGGACGACCAGCCACACUGGGACUGAGACACGGCCCAGACUCCUACGGGAGGCAGCAGUGGGGAAUUUUGGACAAUGGGCGAAAGCCUGAUCCAGCAAUGCCGCGUGUGUGAAGAAGGCCUUCGGGUUGUAAAGCACUUUUGUCCGGAAAGAAAUCCUUGGCCCUAAUACGGUCGGGGGAUGACGGUACCGGAAGAAUAAGCACCGGCUAACUACGUG